GUGCUCGAUUUGGCAGCACAUAUACUAAAAUUGGACCGAUACAGAGAUUUAGCAUGGUCCCUGUGCAAGGAUGACAUGAAAAUUUGUGAAGCGUUCCAUAUUUUU